UACGUAGGGUCCAAGCGUUAUCCGGAAUCAUUGGGCUUAAAGGGUGCGUAGGCGGUUUAAUAAGUCAGUGGUGAAAUCUGGUCGCUUAACGAUCAAACGGCCAUUGAUACUGUUAGACUUGAAUUACUGGGAAGUAACUAGAAUAUGUAGUGUAGCGGUGAAAUGCUUAGAUAUUACAUGGAAUACCAAUUGCGAAGGCAGGUUACUGGCAGUGGAUUGACGCUGAUGGACGAAAGCGUGGGGAGCGAACAGG
rnacentral:rRNA from 1 species